UACGUAGGGUGCGAGCGUUAAUCGGAAUUACUGGGCGUAAGGCGGGCGCGGGGGGAUGUUUAAUUCAGAUGUGAAAUCCCCGGGCUCACCCUGGGAAUGGCAUUUGAAACUGGGCAUCUAGAGUGCGUCAGAGGGGGGUGGAAUUCCACGUGGAGCAGUGAAAUGCGUAGAGAUGUGGAGGAACACCGAUGGCGAAGGCAGCCCCCUGGGAUGACACUGACGCUCAUGCACGAAAGCGUGGGGAGCAAACAGGAUUAGAUACCCUGGUAGUCCACGCCCUAAACUAUGUCAACUAGUUGUUGGGGACGUAAGUUCUUAGUGACGAAGCUAACGCGUGAAGUUGACCGCCUGGGGAGUACGGCCGCAAGGUUG
rnacentral:rRNA from 1 species